GUGGGGAAUCUUCCGCAAUGGACGAAAGUCUGACGGAGCGACGCCGCGUGAGUGAAGAAGGCCUUCGGGUCGUAAAGCUCUGUCAUCGGGGACGAAUGGUCGAUGGAGUGGAAAGCCAUUGAAAUGACGGUACCCGAGAAGGAAGCCACGGCUAACUACGUGCCAGCAGCCGCGGUAAUACGUAGGUGGCAAGCGUUGUCCGGAAUUAUUGGGCGUAAAGCGCGCGCAGGUGGGAUCUUAAGUCUAUUUUGAAAGUUCGGAGCUUAACUCCGUGAUGGGAUAGAAACUGGGAUUCUUGAGUACCGGAGAGGAAAGCGGAAUUCCCCGUGUAGCGGUGAAAUGCGUAGAUAUGGGGAGGAGCACCAGUGGCGAAGGCGGCUUUCUGGACGGUGUCUGACACUGAGGCGCGAAAGCCAGGGGAGCGAACGGGAUUAGAAACCCGUGUAGUCC
rnacentral:rRNA from 1 species